AGAGUUUGAUCCUGGCUCAGAGCGAACGCUGGCGGCAGGCUUAACACAUGCAAGUCGAGCGGAUGUAGCAAUACAUCAGCGGCAGACGGGUGAGUAACACGUGGGAACGUACCUUUUGGUUCGGAACAACACAGGGAAACUUGUGCUAAUACCGGAUAAGCCCUUACGGGGAAAGAUUUAUCGCCGAAAGAUCGGCCCGCGUCUGAUUAGCUAGUUGGUGAGGUAAUGGCUCACCAAGGCGACGAUCAGUAGCUGGUCUGAGAGGAUGAUCAGCCACAUUGGGACUGAGACACGGCCCAAACUCCUACGGGAGGCAGCAGUGGGGAAUAUUGGACAAUGGGCGCAAGCCUGAUCCAGCCAUGCCGCGUGAGUGAUGAAGGCCCUAGGGUUGUAAAGCUCUUUUGUGCGGGAAGAUAAUGACGGUACCGCAAGAAUAAGCCCCGGCUAACUUCGUGCCAGCAGCCGCGGUAAUACGAAGGGGGCUAGCGUUGCUCGGAAUCACUGGGCGUAAAGGGUGCGUAGGCGGGUCUUUAAGUCAGGGGUGAAAUCCUGGAGCUCAACUCCAGAACUGCCUUUGAUACUGAAGAUCUUGAGUUCGGGAGAGGUGAGUGGAACUGCGAGUGUAGAGGUGAAAUUCGUAGAUAUUCGCAAGAACACCAGUGGCGAAGGCGGCUCACUGGCCCGAUACUGACGCUGAGGCACGAAAGCGUGGGGAGCAAACAGGAUUAGAUAC
rnacentral:rRNA from 1 species